AAAUCCAUAAUGGAAAAAUGUUCGUUUGCCUUGUCAGAUUGAUCAAAAUCGCACAGCAUCUUCGUCUCCUUGAAGAUAAUGUCUCAAACCCUUUUCAAAACAUUCCCCAAACUUGCUCAUAUCGCAAUCACCUGCAAAAACGGCGCCGUUUUUGCACCCAGCUCAUCAAAUUUUUAUCUUCCAAGAACAAGCAUAACAAGAACUAUAUGUUGUUACAGUUCAAGCAGCGAAAAGGGUUCGAAUUUCGAGGCAUUUGGGAGGGAAUUGUUGGGCCUUUCUGAUGAGCAAUUGCUGAGUCAGUGUGAUCAGACCACUUUUAAGUCUUCUGGGCCUGGUGGGCAGCAUAGGAAUAAGAGGGAGACUGCUGUGAGGCUUAAGCAUCUUUCAACUGGCAUUGUUGCUCAGGCUGCAGAAGAUAGAUCACAGCACAUGAAUCGUGCAUCUGCAUUGACUCGGUUGCGAACUCUGCUGGCUCUUAAAGUCAGGAACACUAUAGAUCUUGAUACAUAUUCACCUCCACCGGAGCUUCUUCAGAUUCUUCCAGCAAAAUCUACCAUUAGAGGAAAAGAUAUUGGUUCACAAAUUGGCCCCAAAAAUCCGAAGUUUGUUUUGGGGAUGCAAGCUUUGCUGGAUUUGAUUUGUGCAGUGGAUGGUUCUGUAGCCGAUGCAGCAAAGAAGUUGGGGCUAAGUACUGGGGCUCUGUCACGAUUGAUAUUAUCAGAUGAUUCUCUUCGAAUGGCAGUGAAUGAAUUUAGAGGAUCCAAGGGAAUGAAGCCUCUCAAAUAGCCUUCUUCAAAUGGCAACUUUAUGCAUCAGGUGCAGAAGUGAUCUUCUUUCUUGUUCUAGCUUACAGAUCUCCAUGAUUUCUUCAUGGAUCGAUUCCUUUUGACAACCUGUGUCGGCUGACUGGCCCCAUAUGCACUGAUCGUUGAAUACAUAUAGCCACAAGGAGAAAGGUUUCAUUAAGGUGUCCUGGGUAACUCAGCGAAUUGUUGUGGAGCCUUGAUGCUGUUUUCAAAUACAAUUAUCAUUUUAAUUGUAAUUAUUAAUAUGUUUAUCCCUUCUACUUCUGAACUAUGCUUUUGGUAUUAAAAAGGUUAAAUUAUCUGCAUGAAGUCCUUAAAAAGCCGAGACAUUAAUUGCAAGCACAAUUUUUGCGAUGAA